AGAGUUUGAUCCUGGCUCAGGACGAACGCUGGCGGCGUGCUUAACACAUGCAAGUCGAACGGAGCACCCUUGAUUGAGGUUUCGGCCAAAUGAUAGGAAUGCUUAGUGGCGGACUGGUGAGUAACGCGUGAGGAACCUGCCUUUCAGAGGGGGACAACAGUUGGAAACGACUGCUAAUACCGCAUGACGCAUUUUGAUCGCAUGGUCGAAAUGCCAAAGAUUUAUCGCUGAAAGAUGGCCUCGCGUCUGAUUAGCUAGUUGGUGAGGUAACGGCCCACCAAGGCGACGAUCAGUAGCCGGACUGAGAGGUUGACCGGCCACAUUGGGACUGAGAUACGGCCCAGACUCCUACGGGAGGCAGCAGUGGGGAAUAUUGGGCAAUGGGCGCAAGCCUGACCCAGCAACGCCGCGUGAAGGAAGAAGGCUUUCGGGUUGUAAACUUCUUUUAAGAGGGAAGAGCAGAAGACGGUACCUCUAGAAUAAGCCACGGCUAACUACGUGCCAGCAGCCGCGGUAAUACGUAGGUGGCAAGCGUUGUCCGGAUUUACUGGGUGUAAAGGGCGUGCAGCCGGGUCUGCAAGUCAGAUGUGAAAUCCAUGGGCUCAACCCAUGAACUGCAUUUGAAACUGUAGAUCUUGAGUGUCGGAGGGGCAAUCGGAAUUCCUAGUGUAGCGGUGAAAUGCGUAGAUAUUAGGAGGAACACCAGUGGCGAAGGCGGAUUGCUGGACGAUAACUGACGGUGAGGCGCGAAAGUGUGGGGAGCAAACAGGAUUAGAUACCCUGGUAGUCCACACUGUAAACGAUGAAUACUAGGUGUGCGGGGACUGACCCCCUGCGUGCCGCAGUAAACACAAUAAGUAUUCCACCUGGGGAGUACGAUCGCAAGGUUGAAACUCAAAGGAAUUGGACGAUACAAUAAUUUUGCAUAAAUUUGUAACGAGUUUAAUUAAAAAACUAGUAGUUAUACUUGUCGGGAAACAAGUAGAUUCACGAUUACUGGGCUCAAUACGGGAAGAUACGACCAAUAUCAUCCCGUAUCUUUUUUAGUUUCAAGGGUCUUUGUUUUUCAUGGCAAUAAGCUUUUUUGAAAUAAGGUUAUUAAUAACACUAAAUAAAAAUUUCUAUCUUCAUCUUCUCUUUACUUCCUUGUACACUGUUCAGAUAACGCCAGCGUAUUUUCGAAGAAGCUUCUAUAUAAUUCAGUAUCUGCUCCAGGCUCCUGCUCGUGAAUGUCCCGGAGAACAGGUCAUCAUCGGGCACAUUGCGUCGAACGAUAAA
rnacentral:rRNA from 1 species